rnacentral:rRNA from 1 species
UGAGUAACCUGCCCUUAACUCUGGGAUAAGCCUGGGAAACUGGGUCUAAUACCGGAUAUGACUCCUCAUCGCAUGGGUGGGGGGUGGAAAGCUUUUUGUGGUUUUGGAUGGACUCGCGGCCUAUCAGCUUGUUGGUGAGGUAAUGGCUUACCAAGGCGACGACGGGUAGCCGGCCUGAGAGGGUGACCGGCCGCACUGGGACUGAGACACAGCCCAGACUCCUACGAGAGGCAG